AACUCCUACAGGGAGGCAGCUAGUUCAGGAAUAUUCGGCAAUGGGGGAAACCCUGACCGAGCGACACUGCGUGAAGGAGGAAGGCCUUAGGGUUGUAAACUUCUGAACGAGAGACGAUAAUGACGGUAUCUCGGUAAUAGCACCGGCUAACUCCGUGCCAGCAGCCGCGGUAAUACGGAGGGUGCGAGCGUUAUCCGGAAUCACUGGGCGUAAAGGGCGCGUAGGCGGUUACAUAAGUCCGAUGUUAAAGCGUAGGGCUCAACCCUAUAAAGGCGUUGGAUACUGUGAAACUAGACUUUCUGGAGAGGUAAGUGGAAUUACCAGAGUAGCGGUGAAAUGCGUAGAUACUGGUAGGAACACCCAUAGCGAAGGCAGCUUACUGGACAGAGAGUGACGCUGAGGCGCGAAAGUGUGGGGAGCAAACCGAUUAGAUACCCUGGUAGGUCAGU
rnacentral:rRNA from 1 species